rnacentral:rRNA from 1 species
UACAGAGGGGGCAAGCGUUGUUCGGAAUUACUGGGCGUAAAGGGCGCGUAGGCGGCCUUCUAAGUCGAACGUGAAAUCCCCGGGCUCAACCCGGGAACUGCGUCCGAUACUGGAAGGCUUGAAUCCGGGAGAGGGAUGCGGAAUUCCAGGUGUAGCGGUGAAAUGCGUAGAUAUCUGGAGGAACACCGGUGGCGAAGGCGGCAUCCUGGACCGGCAUUGACGCUGAGGUGCGAAAGCGUGGGAGCAAACAGG